CGCACCUUGCGCUCCUUGGUAUUCCGAGGAGCAUGCCUGUUUGAGUGUCGCUAAAUCAUCAACUCAUCCUUUUACUCUUGUGAAGGCGGUGAGAUUGGAUUUGGGGAUUGCUGGCUUCAAAAGUUAGCUUCCCUGGAAUACAUUAGCUGGAUCUUUGAUUUGCAGCAUAUAUGCGGUGUGAUAAUGUCUUCACUGUGUAGCUCAAGUCAUCUGGCUUCUAAUUGUCUUUGCGGACAACUUUGAUCUUCCAGACCUCAAAUCAGGUAGGACUACCCGCUGAACUUAA
rnacentral:misc_RNA from 1 species